UACGUAGGGGGCUAGCGUUGUCCGGAAUCAUUGGGCGUAAAGAGCGUGUAGGCGGCCCGGUAAGUCCGCUGUAAAAGUCAAAGGCUCAACCUUUGAAUGUCAGUGGACACUGCCGGGCUAGAGUCCGGAAGAGGCGAGUGGAACUCCUGGUGUAGCGGUGGAAUGCGCAGAUAUCAGGAAGAACACCAACGGCGAAGGCAGCUCGCUGGGACGGUACUGACGCUGAGACGCGAAAGCGUGGGGAGCGAACAGG
rnacentral:rRNA from 1 species